ACCUGUAAGCCAGGCCAGGGACAGUGUCAGGUGGGCAGUUUGACUGGGGCGGUCGCCUCCUAAAGUGUAACGGAGGCGCUCAAAGGUUCCCUCAGAAUGGUUGGAAAUCAUUCGCAGAGGGUAAAGGGAUAAGGGAGCUUGACUGCGAGAGAAACAGCUCGAGCAGGGAGGAAACUAGGACUUAGUGAUCUGGUGGUACCGCAUGGAAGGGCCAUCACUCAACGGAUAAAAGCUACCCUGGGGAUAA
rnacentral:rRNA from 1 species